CACACACACACACACACACACACACAAAUCAUAUGUAUAAGAAGGAAAGCAGUCCUGUAGAAUUGAAGUGUUUGAAAAAAAUCUAUGAGCUCAGUGUUUUGGAGGAAAUCCCUUGAAUAGCACUGGAAAGAAGGCAGCUCAUUUUGGACUUUGAAUGGUAGGAUUGUAUCUACUGUUCAGUUUUUGAAAUACAGUUGUGCCACUUGCACUGACCCUUCACACUGGGGUUCAGCUGCCACACUUCACUUUGGGUAUGAUGAUGACAGAGGCUGAAAAAUCCAUCAAUGUAUUUCCCCAUGGUUGCCUUCCACCAAAUGAUACUAAUACUCCUGAAAAUACUUAACAUUUACAAAAUGUUUAUUUUCUGAUUCAUGCCAAA